ensembl:lncRNA
GCAGCUCACAGCCUGGCGUAAACGCAAGGUGCUGUCACACAGCUUAAGUUAUUUGGUUGAUUUAUUUUAUGACAAAAUAAUAAGGAAAUAUUAAAAAUAUACAACACGUUGAGAAGAUCUCUUUUGUUAUAUUUUAGUGUUUAACAUGGAAGAUGCCUCUCUGGAGCUUCUCUCCUGAUGCUACUCCACCAAAAGAAGUAUAAAGUACCGAAAUAACACUAUAUAAGUCACAGCUGAUGAUUCUAAUGUUAGAGAGCUCUUGCAACUGGCGUCUGAGCUGUGCAGAGGUCUCUCUUAAGACAGGUACUUAUGUAGGUUAGCAUGAGGUUGAGUUAAUUUUAUACACAAUGCAUAACUGUGCUUGUUUAGAGUUGAUGUUCCGUCCAAACAGGUUUUAAGCUUCACUGGUGAGAGUGUCCAGGUGAUACAUGUUGAGGGAAGAUGAGAACAUAGCAGGUUAAUUGCACGCACGCUUACAAACACACAUGAUUUAUAUAUAGGCCAGGCCAAAGGCCUGGACUUGAUGUAGCUUUUAACUUUACAGCUCCUAACUUGCAGGAAUGGCGGGGAGUGUAAUGAAUGAAUGCAAAACAUGCUUACAGACACAAACAUGACAGGGGUUUAUUUUACAGGGUAAAGGUGGACCACAGGUUGCUUUGUUUCUGCUUAGCAACUACUGAGGUAAAUGGUGUUAAAGAUAAAUAUGCAAUAAGUGAACAGGAAAUGUGUAAGGGUGAGCCGGGUGAAACAAAAUGUUGUAGAUAAUGGAAACUUGUCUAACGGGCAUUAACAGUAACCUUGGCAUGUUAUGUAUAUGCUUGAGGCCAAAAGAGGC